UUAGCGGCGGACGGGUGAGUAACACGUGGGCAACCUGCCCUAUAGAUUGGGAUAACUCCGGGAAACCGGGGCUAAUACCGAAUAAUCUCUUUUGCUUCAUGGUUCAAAAUUGAAAGACGGUUUCGGCUGUCGCUUUUGGAUGGACCCGCGGCGCAUUAGCUAGUUGGUGAGGUAACGGCUCACCAAGGCGACGAUGCGUAGCCGACCUGAGAGGGUGAUCGGCCACACUGGGACUGAGACACGGCCCAGACUCCUACGGGAGGCAGCAGUAGGGAAUCUUCCACAAUGGGA
rnacentral:rRNA from 1 species